UCAUCUAACAAGCCUGAGUGUAUUUUUGUGCUUCGCAGGAGGUUCUUCCGGAUGUGUGCGCUGCGCUAUUCCGUCCCCUCUGCCUUCAUGAUGCACACAGGCUGCAGGAGGGAGAAGUGCUAAAGAUGCCAUUCCUGAUGCAACCGUCCAGCCCUGCCUAAGAUCUUGUCCUUAUGCACCAACAUGAGGAAGAAACUAAACCGCACCCAGAGUGGCUCAGGAAUCCCAAGGUCAUCCGGAGGUCUUCGAGGAGAGCUGGAGCAGAACCAAUCUACAUAUAACAUGGACAGGCCAGACCACCUUCACUACUGGAGACAUGAUAUUUGACGCAGCAGAAGACCAGGCGCUGUCUCUGUGAGGGCGUGAUGAAGAUAUCUGGGUUCCUCUGAAGGUAAAGAACACC